UUUCCGUAGGUGAACCUGCGGAAGGAUCAUUACUGAGUGAGGGCCCCUCGGGGUCCAACCUCCCACCCGUGUUUAACGAACCUUGUUGCUUCGGCGGGCCCGCCUCACGGCCGCCGGGGGCAUUUGCCCCCGGGCCCGCGCCCGCCGAAGCCACCUGUGAACGCUGUCUGAAGUAUGCAGUCUGAGACAAUUAUUAAAUUAAUUAAAACUUUCAACAACGGAUCUCUUGGUUCCG
rnacentral:misc_RNA from 1 species